AUCAGUUUUGAUGAGUCUGACACGUUAGCCAAUAUUUUUGUGGAGAUCGUGGGGCUAACGUUAGAUAAUGCAACUGUGGCUGUUUUGACUGUAACACACCUGAUAGUCACUAUAUGGGUGUUGUUCCUCCUUCCCUAAGUCUCCUAUGUUGAGUCUGAGAACUGCCAGCACACAGGUGACACAAUGGAACUGUGUUCCCAAAAGGAGUUACGCUUCCCAGGCAACCACCGCAGCAGGAUGUUGUGAUACAAAAUCAUCUUUCCCGAGGCAAAGAAGAGGGGAUAUGCUGUGAAGACAGAGCCAACAUUUUACCUGAGCCCUAGGACCAUGCCCCAGACUACCUGACAUGAUGAC